UCUACAUCACCCUGGCUGACCUGUUACUCAUUCUGUGGACCAGAUUAGCUUCAAACUCAGAGAGCUGGUUGCCUCUGUCCCAGCAACUGAAAGAUUUUAAAGUUAGCUGCACUUGCCUUCUGCAGGAAACCUCACUGUUAUAUGGAGCCAAAGCUGGCCGCAUUCUGAGCAGACUGUUAUACCACAGGCUGCUAAUGGAUAUACCACAGGCUGCUAAUGGACACAGAUAUCAGAGAAUGGAUGUUAGCUUGGAGCUUCCUGCCCAGCACAGGCAGUGUCCUGCCCGUAGGUGAGAGCACUGAGAGGUCACUGAGUCAGGGCUUAGAUUUAUGUGUAACUCAUUUAUGUGCAAUUCACAUGCUGCAUCAUCCAGGAUUCUCACACUGUAUAAGCCUAAGAUGAAAACAUACAGGAAGAAGACAGUGUGUUAAUUUUGUUAAACCUAGUAAUCUUGGUUUUAAAAGGACUGUUCUAAACUGUACUUUCUAAAAAAAAAUAUUCCAAAGUCAUGCAAAUUCUGAGAUUUUAGUGUGGUUUACAUUAAUAUUAAAGUUAAUAACCAACUCUUGGCUUUUAGUAAG
rnacentral:lncRNA from 1 species